rnacentral:lncRNA from 1 species
CUAACAAUUAAAUCAAUAAUUUCCAAGAGCUUUGAGCACAAUGUGUGGUCAUUUCACAUUACAUUUUCAUCAGGUAAAUCUUGUAAAUGCCUGUUUUCCCUCAGGUCCUUGCUUUUGGAGACAGUGCCUGGCUUGAUUAAGUUGAAUAAUGAGCAGACUGCUGCUGCUGCAGUGCCCCAUAAAUGUCCAGAACAGCAGUGGCGUUUCCAGGCCCUCUGUCAAGCACAACAAGAGUGACAAGAUUCACUUCUCCAGCAGCAAAAGAUGGAGAUCAGAGCGGCAGCUGUGGCGAUCCAGCGAUGUUGGCGGAGGAGAUGCGUAUUGCAGAGACGUGAGGGCCUCCCAGGCUUAAUUGAAAAAACUAACACAAAAUCACAUUUUGAUAAGGUGGAAGAUACCUGCAUUGGGGGGCCUGAGAGAGAACGUGCUGCUGUUGUUAUUCAGAAAGCAGUGGAGAAAGCCUGGAUAACCUUGGAUUCCAAAGCCUUACCGGCCAAGAUGAUGCCAUUUUCAGAACAGCUGCCAUUGCCAAAGGUAACAGCCCUACGGACCCUCCUUCUGUCUGUGGGCCAGGACAAUCAGAGUCUCUCUGGGUGA